ACGACUACACAGCACAAGAGUCGUGUAACGAAUAAAUAAUAAACGACAUGUUAUAUUAUUGUAGUUGCAUAGGCGAGUCGUGAUGAAUUUUUUUUUUAAUCGAGAACUCCGAAAUCCAAAAACAACAACUGCGUUGUGUUCUGUAAUCGAUUAACACAUAACGGGGUGGAGAAUUUUCCAAGCUGCGCUAAAGGUAAUUAAAAAGAGUUAAAAGUUACUUUUUUUUUUUUUUUUUUACAUUUAUCACCAACCGACAAUUUUCUCAGAGAAUUAAAAUCACUUAAUAGUGAAUUAGAUAUCUGUUUCUUACGAUCGAAUGUUUCGGGUAAGUUUUUAUAUUUUUCGUUCAUGCAGUUGUGCGAAUCGGCCGUCGAACUUGUAGAAAUC